UGAUGCCUCAAGCGUCUUCCACCGCGGCUACAACUGUACCCAGCCAGAUAUGGCCAGUACCAUCACGCCGGGACUACUACAAAGCCAUAUGGGCCGACCAUUUUUUGGAACAAUUUUUUAACUCGUGCAUAGACUGCUUAUGCGGCCGUAUGGGCCGGCAGUUUUUUCGGACCUCGUGCAUAGGCUGCUUAUGCGGCCUUAUGGGCCGGCAGUUUUGGACCUCAUGCAUCAACUGCUUAUGAGGCUGGAUGUGGCCAACAGGCUUUGUGUAAAAAAAAAUGUGGUCUGGUGGCGCCUUCGUGUAUAUGAAGGUUCCGGGUUCGAUUCCUGGUCAGACCCCCGACAUUGUUCGGGAGGUCUAGGUUUACUAACGCUGCUGAGGUGUGGAGAUGAGGUCUAGUUGAUGGACUAAGUUUCGCAUGCUGAGAUGGUGGUGGUGGCUGAUCUGUCUCUACGGAUGUUGGGUGACUGGAUGAGGAGGGGUCUAGUUGGCAGGACCCAAACCGCCGUCGGUCGUACGGUGUAAUCAACUUUCAAUACAUAUAGUCCAUGGCCUCCCGGCUUUGACGGACCCCCCCGCACUCGUGCGGCACUUGUAACUUGUAACUUGUAAUCCCAGUUCCAAUUUAUCCUUCCCUGCGACAAUGGCUGGAUUGACUGCUUAGGCCGGGCCACAGACAGCCACACCCCAACAAGUUCCAAGUGCAGGAGACUACAGGGACUGAUCGAGAAGCUUUCGCAGAAGUUCUCGCAGACCAUCCGAACGGACCGUCCCUUCCUGCAGCACGGGGAAGCUCGCAAUUUUUAGCAUGGUCCAAAAAAAAACCAGUUCUUGCAUACCCAGCUUGCACACUACCCGUAUAGAAAGCUGCCAUCGCCCACCAAUAUGCUGGUCUGUGCGGAUGAGUACCUGCAAGUGACACUGUUUCGUCUUAGUUACCGGGGUUACCUGUAUGCCACAACUUCCGCAGCUCCUCUUCUGCCACGCUCUUCAUUCGAACAAUUACACAGAAGCCACUAUCCUCUUGUGCGACCUUCAGGCUGAUGAAGCUACACAAUUGUGCGGCACCCACAUCCCAACUACCAUCGCAGUCAGCAGCAUAGCAGUCCAGGUUUUGGUUCAAGAAUCACAAUAAGUCCAGAAACGUCACCAGUACCAACAUAGUGAAUACAACUGCACCCUGUAGCAACCGGCAAGCUCCCAUGUCAGCCGGCACAGGUGCCCUGCACAAGGCGCCACAUGGUGAGCCAGUGCCUGCAACCAACGCCUGCAACCAACGAGGUUCCCUACCCGGCAUGGAACACCGGUCACAGCUGGCACUGAACAAGGUCAUGCCCGGCGGGUGGAUGAACUUGUUGUGGCAUACUUGCAUAUUUACCCUCGGACUUUUCCCCAAUUCUCUGGCACUUCACCGCUGGGCAAUAUCUUCGCUCUUACUUGGUUAACCAUUGGGCACUGGCCUAUCUCUAAUUGGGCGCUGGCCCAUCUCUAAUCGGGCACUUGCCUGUCUUUAUCACGCGUGAUACUGGGUUAUAGCGCUCUUGCUAUAAUCGUGACACUUGUCACUGGUAGACCCACUUGGGUUACGAUUGCACCGAUUGGUGAUAAUUCGUGUUGACGAC
rnacentral:lncRNA from 1 species